AGAUUGAACGCUGGCGGCAUGCUUUACACAUGCAAGUCGAACGGUAACAGGCCGCAAGGUGCUGACGAGUGGCGAACGGGUGAGUAAUGUAUCGGAACGUGCCCAGUCGUGGGGGAUAACGCAGCGAAAGCUGCGCUAAUACCGCAUACGAUCUAUGGAUGGAAAGCGGGGGACCUAAGGCCUCGCGCGAUUGGAGCGGCCGAUAUCAGAUUAGGUAGUUGGUGGGGUAAAGGCUCGACCAAGCCAACGAUCCUGUAGCUAGGUCUGAGAGGACGACCAGCCACACUGGACUGAGACACGGCCAGACUCUACGGGAGCAGCAGUGGGAAUUUGGACAAGUGGGCGCAAGCUGACUCCAGCCAUACCGCGUGGGUGAAGAAGGUCCGUUACGGUUAGUAACGUCCCGUUU
rnacentral:rRNA from 1 species